UACGUAGGGGGCUAGCGUUGUCCGGAAUCAUUGGGCGUAAAGAGCGUGUAGGCGGUCCGGUAAGUCCGCUGUGAAAGUCGGGGGCUCAACCCUCGAAUGCCGGUGGAUACUGUCGGGCUAGAGUGCGGAAGAGGCGAGUGGAAUUCCUGGUGUAGCGGUGAAAUGCGCAGAUAUCAGGAGGAACACCUAUUGCGAAGGCAGCUCGCUGGGACGUAACUGACGCUGAGGAGCGAAAGCAUGGGGAGCGAACAGG
rnacentral:rRNA from 1 species